GACGAACGCUGGCGGCGUGCUUAACACAUGCAAGUCGAACGGAAAGGCCCUGCUUUUGUGGGGUGCUCGAGUGGCGAACGGGUGAGUAACACGUGAGUAACCUGCCCUUGACUUUGGGAUAACUUCAGGAAACUGGGGCUAAUACCGGAUAGGAGCUCCUGCUGCAUGGUGGGAGUUGGAAAGUUUCGGCGGUUGGGGAUGGACUCGCGGCUUAUCAGCUUGUUGGUGGGGUAGUGGCUUACCAAGGCUUUGACGGGUAGCCGGCCUGAGAGGGUGACCGGCCACAUUGGGACUGAGAUACGGCCCAGACUCCUACGGGAGGCAGCAGUGGGGAAUAUUGCACAAUGGGCGGAAGCCUGGUGCAGCAACGCCGCGUGCGGGAUGACGGCCUUCGGGUUGUAAACCGCUUUCGCCUGUGACGAAGCGUGAGUGACGGUAAUGGGUAAAGAAGCACCGGCUAACUACGUG
rnacentral:rRNA from 1 species